UUAAACGGAAAGAACCUUACCUGGUCUUGACAUGUACGGAAUCCUCCAGAGACGGAGGAGUGCCUUCGGGAGCCGUAACACAGGUGCUGCAUGGCUGUCGUCAGCUCGUGUCGUGAGAUGUUGGGUUAAGUCCCGCAACGAGCGCAACCCUUGUCAUUAGUUGCCAUCAUUAAGUUGGGCACUCUAAUGAGACUGCCGGUGACAAGCCGGAGGAAGGUGGGGAUGACGUCAAGUCCUCAUGGCCCUUAUGACCAGGGCUUCACACGUCAUACAAUGGUCGGUACAGAGGGUAGCCAAGCCGCGAGGUGGAGCCAAUCUCACAAAACCGAUCGUAGUCCGGAUUGCAGUCUGCAACUUUUUUACAUGAAGUCGGAAUCGCUAGUAAUCGCGAGGAC
rnacentral:rRNA from 1 species